CCAGAUACAGCAAUAGGUGGUGUGUAAUCCCUAAAGAGGAGCUCAAUUCUAUCAUAUAUUUUCGGAGAAGCUGAUAUUAAUAGGGUUAUUUACGGAAGUGGGAAUUCAAAGGGCAUUCACAGGGAAUUUCAAAACUAAGACUAAGGUAGCUGAACUGGAAGCCUAGCUGAUUUAGAGAAUUUUACUAUUAUGGCCUGAAAUUCAAAUUAACUUUGAAUUUUCACUUUAGUGAAUAUUCUUGCAAGUGUGUGGAAUAG